rnacentral:ncRNA from 1 species
CCGCCCGUCGCUCCUACCGAUUGAAUGGUCCGGUGAAGUGUUCGGAUCGCGGCGACGGGGGCGGUUCGCCGUGCCCGACGUCGCGAGAAGUCCAUUGAACCUUAUCAUUUAGAGGAAGGAGAAGUCGUAACAAGGUUUCCGUAGGUGAACCUGCGGAAGGAUCAUUG